GUGGGGAAUCUUCCGCAAUGGACGAAAGUCUGACGGAGCAACGCCGCGUGAGUGAUGAAGGUCUUCGGAUUGUAAAGCUCUGUUAAUCGGGACGAAAGAGCCUAGUGUGAAUAAUGCUAGGAAGUGACGGUACCGGAAUAGAAAGCCACGGCUUACUACGUGCCAGCAGCCGCGGUAAUACGUAGGUGGCAAGCGUUGUCCGGAAUUAUUGGGCGUAAAGCGCGCGCAGGCGGAUCUGCCAGUCUGUCUUAAAAGUUCGGGGCUUAACCCCGUGAUGGGAUGGAAACUACAGAUCUAGAGUAUCGGAGAGGAAAGUGGAAUUCCUAGUGUAGCGGUGAAAUGCGUAGAGAUCGGGAGGAACACCAGUGGCGAAGGCGGCUUACUGGACUGUAACUGACGCUGAGGCGCGAAAGUGUGGGGAGCAAACAGGAUUAGAAACCCCUGUAGUCC
rnacentral:rRNA from 1 species